CCCUAUCCGUCGCAGGCGUAGGAAAUUUGAGGAGACCUGUCCUUAGUACGAGAGGACCGGGAUGGACGUACCUCUGGUGUACCAGUUGUUCUGCCAAGGGCAUGGCUGGGUAGCUAUGUACGGAAUGGAUAAGCGCUGAAAGCAUCUAAGCGCGAAGCCAACUUCAAGAUAAGAUUUCCCACCUAAGGGUUAAGAUCCCAGGAAGACUACCUGGUUGAUAGGUCAAAGGUGUAAGUGCAGCAAUGUAUUUAGCUUAUUGAUACUAAUAGAUCGAGGACUUGACCAAU
rnacentral:rRNA from 1 species